UACAGAGGUCUCGAGCGUUAGGCGGAAUCACUGGGCUUAAAGCGUGUGUAGGCGGACUGGUAAGUACCUUGUGAAAUCCCACGGCUCAACCGUGGAACUGCUUGGUAUACUGCUUGUCUUGUGCAACCUAGGGGCGAGCGGAACAGAUGGUGGAGCGGUGAAAUGCGUAGAUAUCAUCUGGAACGCCAAUGGUGAAAACAGCUCGCUGGGGGUUUGCAGACGCUGAGACACGAAAGCCAGGGGAGCAAACGGG
rnacentral:rRNA from 1 species